ACGCUCGACACCUACGGGGGGCAGCAGUGGGGGAUAUUGCACAAUGGGGGAAACCCUGAUGCAGCAACGCCGCGUGAAGGAUGAAGGUUUUCGGAUUGUAAACUUCUGUUCUUAGUGACGAUAAUGACGGUAGCUAAGAAGAAAGCUCCGGCUAACUACGUGCCAACAGCCGCGGUAAUCUGAGCGGGCUGGCAAGGC
rnacentral:rRNA from 1 species